rnacentral:tRNA from 1 species
GGGCCCGUAGUCUAGUUGGUUAUGACGUCGCCUUUACGAGGCGAAGAUCCCCGGUUCGAAUCCGGGCGGGCCCA